GAUGAACGCUGGCGGCGUGCCUAAUACAUGCAAGUCGAACGAAACUUCUUUAUCACCGAGUGCUUGCACUCACCGAUAAAGAGUUGAGUGGCGAACGGGUGAGUAACACGUGGGCAACCUGCCCAAAAGAGGGGGAUAAUACUUGGAAACAGGUGCUAAUACCGCAUAACCAUAGUUACCGCAUGGUAACUAUGUAAAAGGUGGCUAUACUACCGCUUUUGGAUGGGCCCGCGGCGCAUUAGCUAGUUGGUAGGGUAAAGGCUUACCAAGGCAAUGAUGCGUAGCCGAAUUGAGAGGUUGAUCGGCCACAUUGGGACUGAGACACGGCCCAAACUCCUACGGGAGGCAGCAGUAGGGAAUCUUCCACAAUGGGCGAAAGCCUGAUGGAGCAACGCCGCGUGGGUGAAGAAGGUCUUCGGAUCGUAAAACCCUGUUGUUAGAGAAGAAAGUGCGUGAGAGUAACUGUUCACGUUUCGACGGUAUCUAACCAGAAAGCCACUGCUAACUACGUG
rnacentral:rRNA from 1 species